GAUGAACGCUGGCGGCGUGCUUAACACAUGCAAGUCGAACGGAAAGGCUCCUGCUUGCAGGGGUACUCGAGUGGCGAACGGGUGAGUAACACGUGGGUGAUCUGCCCUGCACUUCGGGAUAAGCUUGGGAAACUGGGUCUAAUACCGGAUAGGACCGCAUUUUGGAUGGUGUGGUGGAAAGUUUUUUCGGUGUGGGAUGAGCUCGCGGCCUAUCAGCUUGUUGGUGGGGUAAUGGCCUACCAAGGCGUCGACGGGUAGCCGGCCUGAGAGGGCGUACGGCCACAUUGGGACUGAGAUACGGCCCAGACUCCUACGGGAGGCAGCAGUGGGGAAUAUUGCACAAUGGGCGCAAGCCUGAUGCAGCGACGCCGCGUGGGGGAUGACGGCCUUCGGGUUGUAAACUCCUUUCGCUAGGGACGAAGAGUAAUUGACGGUACCUGGAGAAGAAGCACCGGCUAACUACGU
rnacentral:rRNA from 1 species